UACGGAGGAUCCAAGCGUUAUCCGGAUUUAUUGGGUUUAAAGGGUGCGUAGGUGGGCAGGUAAGUCAGUGGUGAAAUCUCUGGGCUUAACCCGGAAACUGCCGUUGAUACUAUCUGUCUUGAAUAUAGUGGAGGUGAGCGGAAUAUGUCAUGUAGCGGUGAAAUGCUUAGAUAUGACAUAGAACAUCGAUUGCGAAGGCAGCUCGCUACACUAUGAUUGACACUGAGGCACGAAAAGCGUGGGGAUCAAACAGG
rnacentral:rRNA from 1 species